rnacentral:SRP_RNA from 1 species
CGGCGGACUAGGCUGGGGGGUUCGGCGUCCCCUGGAACCCGAAACCGUCGAUAUGCGGGGGCCGAAGCCCGAGGGGCGGUUCCUAAAGCCGCCCAGCCGACCCCGGGAGGAGUAAUGAUCCCUCGUCCCACGGGGCUGGCGGUGGGCCAAGUACGGCUGGAGGGCCGUGCUAAGGCCCUUUGCCCGCUGAACCCCGCAAGGCCCGGAAGGGAGCAGCGGUAGGCGGGACGUUCGGCGCUCGUGGGGGUAACGGGGGAGAACAAGUCCCGAGCAAGGCUGGGCGGUGGAGGGUUCCCACCCUCGGGCGUGUCCGCCG